AACUGUUUUCAUAACCGCAGCUAUCUGAUGGUUUUCCAGCAGUUUUAAUGGUGAAAAUUGGAAGAGCAGCGAUUCAAUUUGAUUUUGCCACGAAUUUUAAAGAACCGAAGCUAAUCCACCUUUUUUUUUUGCGAUAUUUCAAUCUCCCCCUUCCCAAAAACACAACAACACUCAGCAACUGCAUAAAAAAAAACAAAGAAACCUAAAGAGAAAAGAGGAAAAAACAGAGAAGAAGAGGGAAGAGAGGAAGGAGCCGGGCCGGCGUUGCUGGGUUUUCCGCCGCUGCUGGGUUCUCCGCCGCCAUCGCGUAGCCGUGCCGUCGGAAAGCCAGAACCGCAAGAGAAAGAACCGCGAAGAGAGAGGGAGAUCGCAUCAGCUCACCGCGAAGCCAGUGUAGUCGUCGUCCUCAUCGCGGGUCUUCACUCUUCACCAUUGCGUCUUGCCACCGUCGCCACCACUAAGCUUGCCGUCGUCGCCACUGAAGCUGAAGAGAGAGAGAGAGAGAGUUCGCAAAGAGAGGGAGUGCACGCGCUCACGAAGGAGAAGAACGACGAAGAGUGAAGGAGAAGCAGAAGACGAUGAACGCAGGGGAGAAGAAGGAGGUCCGUUCUCGCACCGUCCUUCUCUGCUGCCGCCGCUGCCGUCGAUUGGGGUCAAGGCCGUCGCCGUCGCACCCUGUUCCCGUCGCCAUUAGGGUUUGCUGCUGCUGCCAUUGAUAGAGUUGCCGCUGGGAGGAGCCGAAUAGGGAGAGGAAGUCGCCAUCGCACACGCCGCCACCAGUUACAACCGUCGCUGAAACCAGGACAGAUUCACUGUUUGAGGAAAACAAAUGAUCUUCUGAAUCAAGAAGUGUCAAAAUUGCAGAAACAAAUUCAAAGUUUGAAACAGAAAAGUGAAAUGAAAGAUGUGGGAAAUCAAAAGCUUCGCAAAAAUAUUAAGGAAGCUACAACAUUGGCAGCAGAUGAGUCUUCUAAGCAUAAAGCAAUGCUAGAAAUUUUUGAGUCCACUAUUAUUCAGUGUGAUUUGUAUAGAACAUAUGAGUCACUAUAAGUCAGCUCCACAACAAGGCCAGAAACGGGGUAGAAGUCACCCCACAGGGUCUGGGAAGAAACAACAGCUGCCUUCUCUUGGUUGAAAUAAUCUCUUCUUGAUCUGAGAUUUUGGUUGAGUAGUUUUAUAUACAUUAAUUUCACUAUUCCAACAGGCUUGCUUGAUGAGGUUGUAAAUCUUGUUGAGGCACCUAUUACAGUGCUUGGAAAGUUUAAAGAAACCUUCUUGGCCCUUCCAAAAGAACUUUUGACCAUGGUUAUGCAAAAGCAUCAGAAAUAUUUUGCUCUAUGUGAUGAUGGACAGAUGUUGCCUUAUUUUAUUGAUGUUGCAAAUGGAGCAAUUGAUGAGACUACUGUGAGGAAAGGAAAUGAAGCUGUCCUCAGGUGUUCUCCCAUCAUUUAUAUAUUGUCUAUUGUAAUCUCCUUAUUUUUGUCUAGUUAAUUGCUUGCUUGCAAAAACAUCUCAUGCAAUUGGCUGAUGCUCAUCUGUUAAUAAUGAUUUUCUACUUAAAAAUUC